GACGAACGCUGGCGGCGUGCUUAACACAUGCAAGUCGAACGGUGAAGCCCUUCGGGGUGGAUCAGUGGCGAACGGGUGAGUAACACGUGGGCAAUCUGCCCUGCACUCUGGGACAAGCCCUGGAAACGGGGUCUAAUACCGGAUAUGACCUUCCUCCGCAUGGGGGUUGGUGGAAAGCUCCGGCGGUGCAGGAUGAGCCCGCGGCCUAUCAGCUUGUUGGUGGGGUAAUGGCCUACCAAGGCGACGACGGGUAGCCGGCCUGAGAGGGCGACCGGCCACACUGGGACUGAGACACGGCCCAGACUCCUACGGGAGGCAGCAGUGGGGAAUAUUGCACAAUGGGCGAAAGCCUGAUGCAGCGACGCCGCGUGAGGGAUGACGGCCUUCGGGUUGUAAACCUCUUUCAGCAGGGAAGAAGCGCAAGUGACGGUACCUGCAGAAGAAGCACCGGCUAACUACGUGCCAGCCGCCGCUGUAACAC
rnacentral:rRNA from 1 species